CCUACGGGAGGCAGCAGCGAGGAAUAUUGGUCAAUGGGCGGGAGCCUGAACCAGCCAAGCCGCGUGAGGGAAGAAGGUACAGCGUAUCGUAAACCUCUUUUGUCAGGGAACAAAGGCGGGGACUAGUCCCCGGAUGAGGGUACCUGAAGAAAAAGCAUCGGCUAACUCCGUGCCAGCAGCCGCGGUAAUACGGAGGAUGCGAGCGUUAUCCGGAUUUAUUGGGUUUAACGGGUGCGCAGGCGGCCUGUUAAGUCAGCGGGAAAAGCCCGGGGCUCAACCCCGGCGAGCCGUUGAAACUGGCGGGCUGGAGUUGGAGAGAAGUACGCGGAAUGCGCGGUGUAGCGGUGAAAUGCUUAGAUAUCGCGCAGAACCCCGAUUGCGAAGGCAGCGUACCGGCUCCACACUGACGCUGAGGCACGAAAGCGUGGGUAUCGAACAGGAUUAGAUACCCCAGUAGUC
rnacentral:rRNA from 1 species